ensembl:lncRNA
GCAUAUGGAGGUUCCCAGGCUAGGGGUCGAAUAAGAGCUGUAGCCGCCGGCCUAUGCCAGAGCCACAACAACUCGGGAUCCGAGCCGCAUCUGCGACCUACACACAGUUCAUGGCAACGCCAGAUCCUUAACCCACUGAGCAAGGCCGGGGAUCGAAGGCACAACCUCAUGGUUCCUAGUCGGAUUUGUUUCCACUGCGCCAUGAUGGGAACUCCUCUUAUGGUUGUAUUUUAUGGACUCUUUGUUAUAUCCUGGAUAACUGUUCUUUAUCAGAUGUGUCUUUGACAUAUUUUCUCCAAGACUUUGGUUUGUCUUCUUAAUCUCUUGACACUGUCUUUCAUAAAGCAGAAUUCUAUUUUAUCAAUUACUUCCCUCAUGGAUUGCACCUUUAGUGCUUUGGGGGGUUUUUGGAGGUCUUUUUGUUUGUUUGUUAUUUAUUUGGACUUUUCAGGGCCAUACCCAUGGCAUAUGGAAGUUCCUAGACUAGGGGUUAAAUCAGAGCUAUAGCUGCCAGCAUACACCACAGCUCAUGGCAAUGCCAGAUUCUUAACCUGUCGAGAAAGGCCAGGGAUUGAACCCACAUCCUCAUGGAAAUUAGUCAGGUUCUUAACCCACUGAGCCAUAAUGGGAACUCCCUGUGUCUUUAGUGUUUUAUUUAAAAAGUCAUUGUCAUAUCCAAUGCCACCUAUAUUUUUUUAUGGUAUCUUUUGAGAGUUUUAUAGAGUUUCAUGUUUUACAUUUAAAUGUGUGAUAUAUUUUUAGUUAACUUUUGUAGAAGUGUGAAGUCAGNUGCUAGAUUCAUUUUUUUGUACAUGAUGUCUAGAAAAAUUUGACAGAACCAAAUGUUGGUAAGGAAAUGAAGUAACAGGUAUUCUCAUUCAUUGUGUACAAAAUGCAAAAUGGAAACACUCCUUUGGAAGAUAGUUUGGCACUUCUUAUAUUUCUAAACAUAAUUAUACCACACAAUCCAGCAAAUCUAUACUUAGGUAUUACCCAAAUGAUUUGCUAUCUUAUGCCCAUGCAAAAAUGUACACACAAAUGUUUAUAGAAGUUGAUGCAACCACUAUAAUACUAACAGUGGGGAAAACUGUGUGCAGGACCAACUGAGAGUUCUGUGAUAUCCUUAAAACUUUUUUGUAAAUCCACGACUAUUCUAAAAUUUUUUAAAUGUAUGAUAUGUAAAAAAUUACAAGGUAAAAAAAAAUUACAAGGUAAAAAUUAUCAAAUUAGAAGAAAAAAUUGUUUUUAUAGUUUUUAACUCUUGGCAACAGGAAGGAACAGUGGGUUUGGAGACAUGGAGAAAAAGUUGUGGUUUAGUUUAUCAAUAGUAAGCCUAUAUUUCUCAUUGAUACAAGCUUCUCUUCCAAUGUGUCAUUUGUGAUUGUUCAAAUCAUCUGCCAGAAAAAGAUUUAUUUUGCUGUUUAUGGUAAUUAGUAUCAUCCCAAAUCUAUCCUUUAGGAAUGAUCUGUUUAUUGUUCAAUAACUUAUUUUUAUGUAACAUCUUAGAUCGACCUGGGUAUUGCACCAACAAGUCUGGGAAGUUCCAGUCUUGGGAUUAUGAAUAUGGUUCCUGUCCAAGAGAAAUUAGUCACUGUAAAAUGUGAGAAUGUAUUUAAUAAGCACUUACAAAGUGAUUACUAUGUGCCAGAAAAUUUUGAAUGCUUUACAUAUACUAAAUUAUUAAGAUUUAAGAUCCUUAGAAAUCCUUCUAGUAUACAUGUUAGUAUAAUCUAUAUAUUAAUGUUAACUAUAUGUUUGUAUAUUGAUAACUAUUUAAAUUUUUUUAUGUUUUUAUUAAAGGCACAUGGAUACAAAAAGAAUUCCUUUCACAUGUCCCAGCCCAGUAGGUCUGCUUUCAGAUUUCCUUCUCUUUAAUCAGGUUGCUGUUGCCAAAACUCGGCCUCUGUCCACUCUUGCCAAAUAGAAAUGUGGAGAUAGAGUUUUGGGUAAAGGAGAAAAAAAUAGCUUUUAUUGCUUUGCCAGGGAAAGGAAGCUAGAGAAAGCUAAUGCUUUAAAAAUUGUGCCUUUUGUUGAGAAGUGUUGCAAGGAGUUUUAUUGUAAAAAGGAGAAAAACAGGUUACUGGAUAAGAAUCAUAUUUGAGGACAAAUAUGCAUUCUUCUUUCUUUGGAGGACAUCUUUAGUUAUCGAGGUUGGUGUCAUGAGAUCUCAGCAUGACCCUGGCGAUCUUCUGGGUUAUCAUAUCUUGAUCUUUCCUGAAAUAAAAAUACUUUCAAAAAGGGAAUAUUGAUCAGUAAUUAAGGCAGUCUAGGAAAGUCCUCAAAAAAAAUCAUGUGCUUAAUAUCUUUAACCCACAGGCAAUUGUGCUCAGGGUGCCUAAUUUUUAGCUUACAAGUGAUUGAGUUUGGGUUGUAAUUAAGCCAUGGAGAAGCAUAAGGAAGGACUCUAAGCUGUUCAGUUUUAAGUAUUCACUUAUAAAAGAAGUAUAAGGAAUAUAAGUUUUCUCUUAGGUGUAUAAGAUACCUACAUCAUCAUGUGUAUCCCUUGAGAAGGAACCGGGAUCCUGUCCCAAGGCUGAACAAUUGCGUCUUAACUGUUCCUCCCUUGUCUUUGCAUUCCCUUCCUUCCCUGAUCAGCAAAUGUCUGAAGCUUCCCCUUGGAAUUCAGGGAAGGCUAUGGCGGCUGAAUGAGACCCAUUUCCUAAAAACAAGCAAUGGGGGACAGAGAAAGUCUUUUGUGCCCAGGAGCCCCACAGGGUCCUACUCAGUUACAAGGUUAUGAUACUCUUUAACUUGAGGGCAUUCUUUAGGAACUCUUAACCAUAUGCCUUGCUCUGAGCACUUUUUCUGGUGUUUAAUGACUGUUAGAAAAUGUAACACCCUGAAAACUAAUUAAGUGUUGAUAUAUUCAGUAGAAACUGCAUGCAAGUUGUCCAAUGCAAGUUUGUGUGCCCAAUUCACAGUGAGCUGCAACAAAUUUAAAUGUCUGAUUGUGUGGCAGAGAAAAGAUUAUUGCAAGGGUCGUACAAGGAGUUUGAGUGGUUUGUGCUCAAAAGACUAAAACUCCCCUUAUGGUUUUCAGGAAAGAGUUGGUAAAAGGCAAAAUUUGGGGAGAAGGCUGCAGGGUACAUGACUUUCUUCUAGUUAGUUCUUGGUGAGGUAACAGGCUCAAAUUCCAGGACUUUUGUGCUCAGGCUGAAGUUAUCAUUUUCCACCUGGGUGGGAAACUUAAUUCUUAUAGAAGAAAUCAUAUAUAUAUUGUUGUGUGUAUUCCUUGAGGAAGCACAAGGACCCCGCUUUAUCACUGCACUAUUGUUUCUUGACUGCUCCUUCUUUGUUUCUGCGUUUCCUUUUCCCUAAUUAGAAACUGAAUCUGCCCUUUGGAACUCCAGGGAAGGUUCAGGAGGCUGAAGCCUUUUUUCUACAAGAAAGCAAGAAACAGGAGACACAGAAAGGAUUUUGUAUCUACCCAAGAGCACUACACAUGUUCUUACUUGGUUUCAAAACCACAUUAUUAGAACUCGAAACCUCAAGGAAAUGUAAACAGAUCUGCAUAAGUUUUCAAGAGACAGAACAGAGUAGCUGAAACAAUCUAAAAAUUAAGAAUUAUGUCAUUGUGGAUCAUUCACUUACCAGGUCAGAGUCACAUGGGACUCUGAGAACAGUGGACCUCUAAUAUUUAGCUAGAUACCCCCACUGAGCUGCUGAAAAUGAUAUUAAAAAUAAUAUGAUACAAUUAAAAGUAUUAAGUUAACUGUUUCAUAGCCACUUCAUGACUACAUAAGUAUUUUUUAUUAAUCUAUGUUUCUAAAUUUUGUAUGUUGGGAAGAGUAGAAGAGCAGGACAGCAAAAAAUCAAUUCAAAGACCUGUUGUGAUAGUUACUGAACUCAGGUUCAGCCACUCACCACUUGAAAGUCAAUACUUGAGAGACAAGUGUUGGUCUAAAGGAAAGUGUUGCUUUAUUCAGGAGACCAGAAAUCUGGGGAGAAAGGUAGACUGGUGUCCAAGAAAUAACGCUGAAGAUUCUGCUCAACCACAGAAGUUUUUAAAGGGAGGAAGGGAAAGUUAAUCACAGUUAAUCAUUCUAGGAGGUGGUCAGUGUCUUCCUUAUCUACCACUGUGUGCAGACAUUCUUCUGAUUGGUUGGUGGUGAAGUCAAAGGUCGGUGCUCCAGGACUCUUGUGCUCAGCCUGAAGUCACAAUCCUCUACCUGGGUGGAGGCUUCAGCUCCUACAGAAGAACUCAAAGAUAUAUUGUUACGUAUAUUCCUUGAGGAGGAACCAGGACCCUGCCCACCCUGAACUAUUGUUUCCCGACUAUUCCUCCUUUGUUUUUGCAUUCCCAACCUUUCCUGACAAGCAAUUAUUUGAAUCUGCACUUUGGAAUGCAGAGACAGUCAGAGAGGCUGAAUGAAACCUUUUUCCUACAAACAAGAACUAGGGGAGAGGGAAAGGAUUUGUAACCAGAGGGUGCCACAAGUUCCUGCUCAGUUUUAAUGUGAUUUAUAAUUGUUGUUUUAUUUUGUUUUUGUCUGUUUCUGAUACAGAGACUCUAACACUCUUGGAAUUUCCUAAGUGAUGACAGCAAUAAAGUUCUCUUGUUAUGUUAACAUGAUGACUUUUGGACAUCAGGUAAGGAUGAGGGCUUGAUGCCAGGUUACCCAACCAUGUGAUUAGAGGGUUGGAUCUUCCAGUAUCACUCCCAUCUCCAAAGAGAAGAGAAGGGCUGAAAGUUGAGCUCCAUCACUGAUGGCCAAUGAGUUCAUCGAUCCUAUCUAUUGUGAUGAAGCCUCCAUAAAAACCUCAAAGAUAAUGUGUUUUCCCGUUUCAUUUGCUGAAAGAUCUUUCUUUUAAAGUUAUACUGGAUUAUAAUAUAUCUACUGCAAUAUGUGGAAAUAUGUACUCAUGAACUGUAGAAAUUUUUGUUUAAUAAAAUUUAAAAAUUUGCUUUCAUGGUGGAGUUCCCAUUGUGGCUCAGUGGUAAUGAACCCAACUAGUAUACAUAAAGAAGUGGGUUCAAUUCCUGGCCUCAUUCAGUGGGUUAAGGAUCCAGUGUUGCCAUGAGCCCUAGUGUCAGUCACAGAUGUGGCUCAGUUCCUUCAUUGCUGCAUUGCUGUGUAGUUCAGCAGCUGCAGCUCCAAUUCCAACCCUAGCCUGGGAACUGCCAUAUGCUGAAAGUGUGGCCCUAAAAAAAAAAAAAAAAAAAA